AGUGUCUCCUAUGAAUCCAUUCAGAGAGAGUGAUCUUUCAGCAGACUGAUCGAACACACAGGCUUCUCAGCCCACUCCCUCCAGUCAAGGUUAAGGCCUGGCAAAGGUGGAGGAAGAGAAGCUGAGGAGAAAAAGGCGAGGAGAGCCUAGGCACAGGAAGGCUUCCCUCCCUCCCAGUGCUGAUUUCCUGUGGACCAGAUUCCAGCACAGUGGAGGGCCAGAGCUCAGGGAACAGACCCAGCAGCACAGCAAGUCUCCAAGGAAAGCUCUAGCAGUCUCCAGGGGCUGAAGGCAGGACUGGGGAAGCGGCUAGCCAGGCUGCAGAAGGCAAAUGCUCCCAGACGGCUGUCCAGCACGCAUCCGCCUUCCUAGCCAAGUUUCCUGGGCUCCUGCCACAGAUCUAAGCCUCAUCCUGACAUCCUGCCCUCUGUGCUCUGGGAUGGCCCAGGGGAGAUGCUUAGCCUUGGCUCCUUGUCUGCUGGUGGAGGGGACACACACCCUUUCUGGACCACAGACCAAAAAGAAGACCUGACGUCAUCCUGAGCACCCCCGCCAUGCAGAGUGUGUUCGCAGACUGCCAACGGGCUGGCUCCGGCCAGCAGAAGUGAACAGAGGUGGAGGUUCAGCCUGACAGCUUCUCCCCAAAGCCAUGGAGAGAAAACCUUACCACCCCCACCGCCCAGCUACUUCCAGCAAGUUGUCCAGCCUGACCCCUCUAUUUCCCCUGUUGUCUCUUAUCUGGGUCCCUGAGACCCACCCCAUCUCCAAUAAAGAACAUUGCAUACUGUG
rnacentral:lncRNA from 1 species